UGCGGUUCAGUCGGUAGAGCGCUUGCCUGACAAGCAUGAAGCCCUGGGUUCCAUCCCCAGCA
rnacentral:tRNA from 1 species